rnacentral:rRNA from 1 species
CAAUAGCGUAUAUUAAAGUUGUUGCAGUUAGAAAGCUCGUAGUUGGAUUUCUGGAUGGAGCGACCGGUCGGGCAUUAAUUUGUCUGCACUGGAGUCGGUUCCGUCCAUCCUCUUGGAAAGUGCGUGGGGCAUUAAGUUGUCUGGCGUAUGAUCCAAGUCGUUUACUGUGAAAAAAUUAGAGUGUUUAAAGCAGGCCUUCGCCUUGAAUACAUUAGCAUGGAAUAAUAAGAUAGGACUUUGGUCUAUUUUGUUGGUUUGCAGACCGAAGUAAUGAUUAAUAGGGAUAGUUGGGGGUAUUUAUAUUCCGAUGUCAGAGGUGAAAUUCUUAGAUUUUCGGAAGAUAAACUUAUGCGAAAGCAUUUACCAAGGACGUUUNCAUUA